rnacentral:rRNA from 1 species
AACGAACGCUGGCGGCAGGCCUAACACAUGCAAGUCGAGCGAGGACUUCGGUCCUAGCGGCGGACGGGUGAGUAACGCGUGGGAACGUGCCCUCUGCUACGGAAUAGCCCCGGGAAACUGGGAGUAAUACCGUAUGUGCCCUUCGGGGGAAAGAUUUAUCGGCAAAGGAUCGGCCCGCGUUGGAUUAGGUAGUUGGUGGGGUAAUGGCCUACCAAGCCGACGAUCCAUAGCUGGUUUGAGAGGAUGAUCAGCCACACUGGGACUGAGACACGGCCCAGACUCCUACGGGAGGCAGCAGUGGGGAAUCUUAGACAAUGGGGGAAACCCUGAUCUAGCCAUGCCGCGUGAGCGAUGAAGGCCUUAGGGUUGUAAAGCUCUUUCAGUGGGGAAGAUAAUGACGGUACCCACAGAAGAAGCCCCGGCUAACUCCGUGCCAGCAGCCGCAGUAAAAC